AUGUCUGAGGAAAUGAAGGAUAAGUUUGAGAAGUAUUGGAAAGAUAUCCAUGGUCUUAUGUCCGUUGCAACAGUUCUUGAUCCAAGGUAUAAACUUCAUAUUCUCAAUGCUCUUUAUGGCCCCCUCUAUGGAAGAGAGCAUGCAACCACCGAAAUAGAGAAGGUAAAGAAGUUAUUGAUUGAGUUGGUGAAGAAAUAUAAAGAUGAAGUUGAAGGUGAGGAUACACAUGAUGCUUCUAUUACGGAGCCAGUUGGAGAACAAGAUGAAGUCAUGAAACUCUAUGACAUGUAUUUGUCUAGUCGCCCCAUGGUCCCUUCUUCAUCAAUCCAUACAGAAUUGGACUUGUAUUUGGAAGAAGCUAGUUUUCUUAAAAAUAGAACACAAUAA
rnacentral:rRNA from 1 species